UACAGAGGAGGCAAGCGUUGUUCGGAAUCACUGGGCUUAAAGCGCGUGUAGGCGGCUUGGUAAGUCUUCUGUGAAAUCCCACGGCUCACCCGUGGAACUGCAGGGUAUACUGCCAGGCUUGAGGCAGGUAGGGGCCACUGGAACUCUAGGUGGAACGGUGAAAUGUGUAGAUAUCUAGAGGAACGCCCGCGGCGAAAGCGGGUGGCUGGGCCUGUCCUGACGCUGAGACGCGAAAGCGUGGGGAGCAAACGGG
rnacentral:rRNA from 1 species